AUUGAACGCUGGCGGCAGGCCUAACACAUGCAAGUCGAGCGGAUGAAGGGAGCUUGCUCCUGGAUUCAGCGGCGGACGGGUGAGUAAUGCCUAGGAAUCUGCCUGGUAGUGGGGGAUAACGUCCGGAAACGGGCGCUAAUACUGCAUACGCCCUGAGGGAGAAAGUGGGGGAUCUUCGGACCUCACGCUAUCAGAUGAGCCUAGGUCGGAUUAGCUAGUUGGUGGGGUAAAGGCCUACCAAGGCGACGAUCCGUAACUGGUCUGAGAGGAUGAUCAGUCACACUGGAACUGAGACACGGUCCAGACUCCUACGGGAGGCAGCAGUGGGGAAUAUUGGACAAUGGGCGAAAGCCUGAUCCAGCCAUGCCGCGUGUGUGAAGAAGGUCUUCGGAUUGUAAAGCACUUUAAGUUGGGAGGAAAGGCAGUAAGUUAAUACCUUGCUGUUUUGACGUUACCAAAAGAAUAAGCACCGGCUAACUUCGUG
rnacentral:rRNA from 1 species